GGGAAGACAGCGCAAACUCCUAGCCUGACGCCAACUCUCCCCCUCCCGAUUCUUGGGUUUAGAGGCCUAUGCAGAAGACUCGCGAAGAACUGUGGGAAGAGGCCUGGUGGCAGAUGACAAACCGGGUGGGGGUGGGAGGUGGGGAGGAAGAUCAAGCCUUGUGGGAAUGCCUCGCCCUCUUUACCGCCCAGAGCUGCCUCUUUGCCAGGCCUAUGUCAUCUUUCAGCACCACGGACAGCACCAGGCCUCCUGUGAGUCUGAGGGUGUCCAGUUCUCUUUUCCUAUCAACCUUGGGAACGCUGCCUCUUCCCUUCCAGAAGCUCUUUUCCUUCUCAGUAGGAUGCUGGAGUUUCUGCUUCUACCUACAGCCAGGAAAUUGAUAUUAGGAUCCAUUUGAUUGGGGAAGAAUUCCCUUUUCUUAAGGCCUGUUCAUAAUGACUCAUGGUAGUUCCACUACAGAAAAAAAUGGACUCUUCCUCCAACCCCACCACAUCUACCUGGAAUAAGAAAGGUUCGUUCUGGAAGGAUGACAUCACCCAGGAUGUGAUGACCCAGAAGGUGGAGCACAUCAGCAGACUCCACCCCCAAGACCACUGGGGUAAGGAGCAAGCAGGAAGAGAAACUUAGACUCCUUUUCCCCAAGAGCCCAACGGCUGAGGUGAACAAGGAUCAGUGCUUUACCUCUAAAGUGGUUUUGAAGGCCCUGAACAAGAGAUGGCCAAGCCUGUCAAGGGCUUCUUUGAGCCACCCCCUGCUGUGGGCCAACAACCUUCUCACUGAUUGAGACCUUGUGAGAAGCCUCUCUGCCCCAAUUCCCUCCCCAUUGCCCCCCAGAGGGAGCAGUUCUAAGAUGACUCAAACCUGGAUCAUUAAAGUGGACUUUGAUGCAAAGUCUUUCUGUGACUUGGCUUGAGGCAGGAUGGGUAGGGUUUGGACCUGGUCAGAGCCU